GACGAACGCUGGCGGCGUGCCUAAUACAUGCAAGUUGAGCGCUUAAGGUUGGUCCUUGUACCAACUGGAUGAGCAGCGAACGGGUGAGUAACGCGUGGGGAAUCUGCCUUUGAGCGGGGGACAACAUUUGGAAACGAAUGCUAAUACCGCAUAAAAACUUUAAACACAAGUUUUAAGUUUGAAAGAUGCAAUUGCAUCACUCAAAGAUGAUCCCGCGUUGUAUUAGCUAGUUGGUGAGGUAAAGGCUCACCAAGGCGAUGAUACAUAGCCGACCUGAGAGGGUGAUCGGCCACAUUGGGACUGAGACACGGCCCAAACUCCUACGGGAGGCAGCAGUAGGGAAUCUUCGGCAAUGGACGAAAGUCUGACCGAGCAACGCCGCGUGAGUGAAGAAGGUUUUCGGAUCGUAAAACUCUGUUGGUAGAGAAGAACGUUGGUGAGAGUGGAAAGCUCAUCAAGUGACGGUAACUACCCAGAAAGGGACGGCUAACUACGUG
rnacentral:rRNA from 1 species